ensembl:lncRNA
CAAGGAGAGAGAAGAGGAAGUCUUGCAUUAGGGAGUUGGGGGUUGGGUUUCUGUGUGUUUUCAGAGAAACAACCUCAGCUUCCAGGUUUCUAGAGGGGUUCCCCAUCCUCUGCUCAGUUCAGCCCCAGGCAGGCAGAACCGUGCCCAAGCCUCCCUCCUGAGCUCCCGCAUAUGCUUUCUUGCUAAAUGACUCUUGCUCCAUCGUCUCCUCACAGGGUACAUCUGCUGGGUGCCUCUCGUCCUCAACUCGGCUUUCAUCUUUUCGGAUCUCAACACAUUGUUUCCUCCAGUCCUGGUGCCAGGGUGGAAGGGAGCCAUCAAGCCCGGCCGCGCUCUGGGACUGGCAGCGAACGAAUGACUGGCAGCGGGCAUCUCUGUCAGCGCUUUGGCAUGCCGCAGAGUAGAAGCCCCACGCUAAUGAAUGCCAUCUACACCUACCAGAUGUGCCACUGGGUGACAUGCCAGAUCUUUUACAUAAUGCCAUUCUGCCGGACCCGAGACAGCUGGGGAUUCCAAAAAGGAAAACUGUUUAGAAGGUUAAAGGAAAAAUCCCACUGAGAACAGCUGAAAUGAAAAGGGGUUCCACAGCCCCAGCUCGUCCCGCUCUUCUCUACUCUCCAAGUGCAAGGGUGAGCUACCCACGCCCUAUCCCUUCCUCAGCCUCUCUGGUUCCGACCUCCUCCACUGCCCACCGGAGCCUGGGGAACGUUUAUCCUCAAGGGUGCGAGAGAGCCUGUCACUUUCCGUUCCACGUUCUGGCUGAAGUAGUUGUCUUGGGGUGGAGGUGUCCAAACCCUCCUGCCAUUUGGAACGGAGUGUUUCCUGGAGAGGGAUGGAUGAGGUGGGAGGAAGGGGAAAUAAGAAAACUGCUUCUGGCCAACAAGGGUGUGCGCGCCUGUAAGACAGUUUCCAAGCUCGGGUCCCAGCCCUCCACUCCCAGGGGGACAGGAGCUGGGGACCGGGGGAGGCGGCCUAACACGUCCCCAGCAUCCUCUCCACACCUGGCAACCGGGCCUGCCCGGGAUCCGGAGGACUCAUGGGGACCACCUCUGCGCCUCCUCCCAAGGGCCGCACCCCUCCCACGCCCCCUGCGGGGCCCUAGGGCCUCCCCUCCCCUCCCGCGUAGAGUCUCCGGCCAGCCAAGGGGCCCCGCGCCUGCCCGGUCCUCACAGCCCACCCCGCCCCGCCGCCUGGGCUCCAGAUGGCGGCGCAGCGAGAGCGGCACGCAGGGUCCCCUCCUCCCGCCCAGCUGCCUCUGCGUUGACCUGGCUGCUCAGCACUGCAGGCCGGCGCCUGUCUGACCGGGAGGGGGCGGUGUGCCCCGGGGGACGCAGGUUUCCUGCCUUCCCUCUCUCUUGCACCCUCAUAUUCUUGAGGGUUCUACGGGCCGGAGACGAUGUGAAUGUGGCCCCUCUGCGAAGAUACAGAUACACAAGGAAAACCAAAGCUAUUCAGGCUCCUCAUUUGUCCGGCAGCUAACAGUGGGGCCCUUUCUCUGCGGCUGCUUCCCUGCCUAGGCAGCAGCAGUUAUGGUAGAAGCAGAUGGCUACUGAUUGGGGGAGCUUUGUGGCUCUAAUACUGAAUACUUUAUGGAAAAGGACUUUAUCAUGCUUCGUUGGGCAGGGGAACAACGGGAUGAGAUUUACAGCCAGAAAAAAAUAAAUCUUUUUCCAAGUUGUG